ACAGCUCCCUUGGUAAACUAUUUUGCAGUAGAAUCUUGCAACUAUAAGGCUCUCUAUUACAAACGUAUUGGUUUUACUGAAUUGAAGAAAACAUUAUGAUUACAGGUUUAUCAUUGUGGAAUGUUAAAAAUGCAACUACAAGCAUUCUAAAACAGAACAAGAACGACAUACUUAAAUGUAACAAUACACUGCUUUAAUAUUUGAGAAUCUUCCCAAGUAUAUGACU